CUGGGCCUGGCCGUAAUUGAAAAGGCAAGGAAAAGACAAGCUUCAAGGAUAUCUUGGCUCAAAAUGGGCGACGCUAGCACCAGAUUUUUCCACGCGAAGAUGUGCUCUCGAAGAAGAAAGAACUUCAUCCAUUCCCUGCACCACAAAGGAGCAACCGUCACCUCUCAUGCAAAGAAAGAAGAGGCAAUCGAGAAGCACUUCAAAGAGCUCAUUGGAACCCUGUCUCCUCGUAGAACAACCCUCAAUUGGCAGCUUCUCCAAUUGCCAACGGUCCAGGCUGCUGGACUUGAUAAUCCUUUCUCCGAGGGCGAGGUUUGGGCAGCAAUAAAAGACUCCCCGAUGGAAAAAGCCCCAGGGCCGGACAGCUUCAUUGGAAUGUUCUUCAGAGUCUCUUGGGAGAUGAUCAAGGGGGACAUCAUGCAAGUGUUUGAGUAG
rnacentral:rRNA from 1 species